rnacentral:rRNA from 1 species
GACGAACGCCGGCGGCGUGCUUAACACAUGCAAGUCGAACGAUGAACCAGGGCUUGCCCUGGGGAUUAGUGGCGAACGGGUGAGUAACACGUGGGCAACCUGCCCCAGACACCGGGAUAACCAUUCGAAAGAGUGGCUAAUACCGGAUACGACCACUUUGGGCAUCCAACGGUGGUGGAAAGGAUUCUGGUCUGGGAUGGGCCCGCGGCCUAUCAGCUUGUUGGUGGGGUAAUGGCCUACCAAGGCGACGACGGGUAGCCGGCCUGAGAGGGCGACCGGCCACACUGGGACUGAGACACGGCCCAGACUCCUACGGGAGGCAGCAGUGGGGAAUAUUGCGCAAUGGGCGAAAGCCUGACGCAGCGACGCCGCGUGAGGGACGAAGGUCUUCGGAUUGUAAACCUCUUUCAGCAGGGACGAAGCGAAAGUGACUGUACCUGCAGAAGAAGCACCGGCUAACUACGUGCCAGCAGCCGCGGUAAUAC